rnacentral:misc_RNA from 1 species
UUUCCGUAGGUGAACCUGCGGAAGGAUCAUUAAUGUAUCUCCGAGGAUCGAGGUCUCGUGUUGUCCCGAAAGGUCGGGCACGCCCGAGUUCUAUCACACUCAUCUAUCUAACACCUACGUACAUCACCGCGAGCUUGGCCAAUGUGCUUCUGUUUACGGUGGCUUACCUAUUGACACCAUCUAAUUAUGCACUGCAUAAUAUAAUUUCUGUAGUAGCUAUCACGCAAUCAAUACAACUUUCAACAACGGAACACUUGGCAACCGCAUCGAUGAAGAACC